GGUCUUUUAUAAAAAUUUGUCUGUAUGUAGAGUUUCUUUUGUCUUCCAUACACCUUUUUUUCUUGACUAUUACAAAAGUUUAACAAAAAGUUUAAAAUGAAAAUAUAUAUGAUUCACUUUUUUUGGUCCUCAUGGUAUGACUUAAGUUUUUUUUUUUUUUUUGAGAUGGAGUUUCAUUCCUGUUGCCCAGGCUGGAGUGAAAUGGCGUGGUCUCGGCUGACUGCAACUUCUGCCUCCUGGGUUCAAGCAGUUCUCCUGUCUCAGCCUCCUGAGUAGCUGGGAUUAUAGGUACCCACCACCACACGUGGCUAAUUUUUGUAUUUUCAGUAGAGAUGGUGUUUCACCACGUUGGCCAGGCUGGUCUCCAACUCCUGACCUCAGGUAAUCCACCCACCUUGGCCUCCCAAAGGUCUGGGAUAACAGGCAUGAGCCACUGUGCCUGCCCUCAAGUUUUUAAUGAUAGUAAAACAGGCCCUUUGGAAAGAGGAUGUGGAUUUCUCUACUGAUCAGCCAUUAUUUGUACUUACUCCAAGGCAUCUAACAUGAUGAUACUGUUUCCUCAUAUUACCUCCAUUCCAAUGUUGUUCUCCUGCCCACUAGUUGGAUUUUUGUACCUAAUUCUUUCUUCAGCCUUUUCUCCCCUGCAUGGUUUCUAGCUUCUGUCUUAAUGUUAGGAAGCAUAGUUUGUCUCAGGGAGAUGCUCAUCAACGCAGUGGCCUACGUGUUGUUGCAUGUCCUGGCACACAGCUUCUGCAAGCUACUGGUUCAUGGAGCGGAAGGUCUUUGGCAAGCGAUUGGUUCUAUUUCCCACAGGUUGCUGGGGAAGUAUUCACUUACGUCCUGAAACACUGGACCACUUCACCAGGAAAAAAAGAUGCGAACUGACUCUUCAGUGAUUACAGUUUGGUCCUAUUUCUUGUUUAUGUAGCAGAAGUUUCUCUGUUUUUGACAUAAGGAUGGAACCUAUUUUUCAGAAAUGAUGCAGAUAUCCCCAUAUCUGUCAUAUUUUAAAAUCGUUUGUUUUUCUGUUGGGUAGGGGAGAUUGUGGGUAAGUUUGGAGGUCAGUGUUCGUGUGGCUGUCUUUCUUGGAAUAAAUUUCAUUUUGUUUUGAUGGUGAAUUGUAGGAGUGGCAGGUGCUUGGAAUUUUAAAAUUAAAAAAAUUUUGGCAUAAUUUCAGACUUCCAACACUUCCAUCUUUUGUUGUCUUCACGAUUUUGACAUUUUUACUGAGCACAGGCCAGCCAUUUUACAGAGUGAACUUCAAUUUAGAUUUUGUUUUCUGAUGUUCCCUCAUGAUUGGAGUUUUGUUAUACAUUUAAAAAAAUAUUUUAUUUUAUAUUUUUUUCUUAUCUUUUUUUUUUUUUAGAGGUGGAGUUUCACCAUAUUGGCAGACUGGUCUCGAAGUCCUGAUCUCAGGUGAUCCACCUGCCUCAGCCUCCCCAAGUGCUGGGAUUACAGGCGUGAGCCACCGCGCCUGGCCUAGUUAUACAUUUUUGGCAGCAAUAUCACAGAAACGAUGUUGUGUUCUUUUUUUUUUUUUUAAAGACGGGAUUUCACCAUAUUGGUCAGGCUGGUCUUAAACUCCCAACCUCAGGUGAUCCCCCGCCUUGGCCUCCAAAGUGCUUGGAUUAUAGGCGUGAGCCACCACGCCCGGCCUGAUGUUGUGUUCUUAAUGCUUUGUAUCAGGAGUUAUAUGAUGUCAGUUGACUUUUAUUACUUGGUUAAGGCAGUGCGUAACACUCUAAAGAUACUAUUUUUCUGUCUUUUUGGGGGAAUACCUUAUGGGGAGAUACAGUAAUACUAUGCAAUUAUCCUGUCCCCAUCAAAUUUUCAUCAUAUUGUGUUAGCUGCCGUUGGUGAUUCUUUCGUGAAUCAGUUAUUACUCUGCUCAUUUCCAAACAAUGAUUUUUUAAAAGGACAUCUUUACUGAGGUGUGACUGACAUGUAAAAAACUGUACAUAUUUAAUGUGUGCAACUUGAUGAGCAAUGACAUUCUAAUUCAUCAUUCCUUGUACAUUUAUUAGUUUGUAUUCUAAUAAAUAGAAUACAAUUACAUGUGAAUUCAUGUGAUAAGCAAUGACAUUCUAAUUCAUCAUUCCUUGUACAUUUAUUAAUUUGUAUUCUAUAAGGAAGAGCUUUUCUUUUUUUCUGAGUUGUAUCUCUGUGGAUUCAUAAAUUCUUGUUUUAGUCUGUUGGUUUUCAUCUGUUACUAUUAUUUAUUUUGAUGUUCUGAUUUGUUCAGAUUUGGCUCAUGAGAGCUCCUUCAAGAUUUCCUUUUUUUGAGAUGGAGUUUUCACUCUUGUUGCCCACGGUGGAGUGUGAUGGCGUGAUCUUGGCUCACCGCAACCUCUGCCUCCUGGAUUCAAGCAAUUCUCCUGCCUCAGCCUCCCAAGAAGCUGGGAUUACAGGCAUGUGCCACCAUGCCUGGCGAAUUUUGUAUUUUCAGUAGAGAUAGGAUUUUUCCAUUUUGGUCAGUCUGCUCUUGAACUACCGACCUCAGGUGAUCAGCCUGGCUUGGCCUCCCAAAGCGCUGAGAUUACAGCAUACUCCUUGCCCGUUCUCUUGUAUUUGAAGAGCCAACAGACAUUCAGAAUGGCGGGAACUUGGAGAGCAAGAAGAAUAGCCCCAGAUACGAGGUCUUUCAGGAAGAUGAACCCUCCUCUGCAGAAGCUGGAGCUGCCCCAGAGAGUCUGUUUGUGAUGAAGACAGAGGCCCAGCCUUCGACAUCCUCGCUGGCAAACACCUCAUUGACACAGUGAUUUCUGACAGUGGCUCAGGAAGUCAAACACGGGAAGACAAGGAUCCGGGGACCUGGGAUGCACCACCUUGGACCUCAGAGGCCCAAGUUUCAGCCACCCGGAUUGCAAAGGCUCAGGCCUGGAAAACCCAUGCUAU